GAUGAACGCUAGCGGCAGGCUUAACACAUGCAAGUCGAGGGGUAGAGGCUUUCGGGCCUUGAGACCGGCGCACGGGUGCGUAACGCGUAUGCACUCUGCCUUCCACAGAGGGAUAGCCCGGAGAAACUUGGAUUAAUACCUCAUAGUAUUACAGGACGGCAUCAUCCGGUAAUUAAAGUCACAACGGUGAAAGAUGAGCAUGCGUCCCAUUAGCUAGUUGGUAAGGUAACGGCUUACCAAGGCGACGAUGGGUAGGGGUCCUGAGAGGGAGAUCCCCCACACUGGUACUGAGACACGGACCAGACUCCGACGGGAGGCAGCAGUGAGGAAUAUUGGUCAAUGGGCGCAAGCCUGAACCUGCCAUGCCGCGUGCAGGAUGACGGUCCUGUGGAUUGUAAACUGCUUUUGUACGGGAAGAAACACUGAUUCGUGAAUCAGCCUGACGGUACCGUAAGAAUAAGGAUCGGCUAACUCCGUGCCAGCCGCCGCCGUAACAC
rnacentral:rRNA from 1 species